ensembl:Mt_tRNA
GUCGUACGUAGCUUAAACCUACCCCAAAGCAAGACACUGAAAAUGCCUAGAUGGAUUCACACAUCCCAUAGACA